rnacentral:rRNA from 1 species
GACGAACGCUGGCGGCGUGCUUAACACAUGCAAGUCGAACGGAAAGGCCCUGCUUUUGUGGGGUGCUCGAGUGGCGAACGGGUGAGUAACACGUGAGUAACCUGCCCUUGACUUUGGGAUAGCUUCAGGAAACUGGGGCUAAUACCGGAUAGGAGCUCCUGCUGCAUGGUGGGGGUUGGAAAGUUUCGGCGGUUGGGGAUGGACUCGCGGCUUAUCAGCUUGUUGGUGGGGUAGUGGCUUACCAAGGCUUUGACGGGUAGCCGGCCUGAGAGGGUGACCGGCCACAUUGGGACUGAGAUACGGCCCAGACUCCUACGGGAGGCAGCAGUGGGGAAUAUUGCACAAUGGGCGGAAGCCUGAUGCAGCAACGCCGCGUGCGGGAUGACGGCCUUCGGGUUGUAAACCGCUUUCGCCUGUGACGAAGCGUGAGUGACGGUAAUGGGUAAAGAAGCACCGGCUAACUACGUGCCAGCAGCCGCGGUGAUACGUAGGGUGCGAGCGUUGUCCGGAUUUAUUGGGCGUAAAGGGCUCGUAGGUGGUUGAUCGCGUCGGAAGUGUAAUCUUGGGGCUUAACCCUGAGCGUGCUUUCGAUACGGGUUGACUUGAGGAAGGUAGGGGAGAAUGGAAUUCCUGGUGGAGCGGUGGAAUGCGCAGAUAUCAGGAGGAACACCAGUGGCGAAGGCGGUUCUCUGGGCCUUUCCUGACGCUGAGGAGCGAAAGCGUGGGGAGCGAACAGGCUUAGAUACCCUGGUAGUCCACGCUGUAAACGGUGGGUACUAGGUGUGGGGUCCAUUCCACGGGUUCCGUGCCGUAGCUAACGCUUUAAGUACCCCGCCUGGGGAGUACGGCCGCAAGGCUAAAACUCAAAGGAAUUGACGGGGCCCCGCACAAGCGGCGGAGCAUGCGGAUUAAUUCGAUGCAACGCGUAGAACCUUACCUGGGUUUGACAUGGAUCGGGAGUGCUCAGAGAUGGGUGUGCCUCUUUUGGGGUCGGUUCACAGGUGGUGCAUGGCUGUCGUCAGCUCGUGUCGUGAGAUGUUGGGUUAAGUCCCGCAACGAGCGCAACCCUUGUUCACUGUUGCCAGCACGUUAUGGUGGGGACUCAGUGGAGACCGCCGGGGUCAACUCGGAGGAAGGUGGGGAUGACGUCAAGUCAUCAUGCCCCUUAUGUCCAGGGCUUCACGCAUGCUACAAUGGCUGGUACAGAGAGUGGCGAGUCUGUGAGGGUGAGCGAAUCUCGGAAAGCCGGUCUCAGUUCGGAUUGGGGUCUGCAACUCGACCUCAUGAAGUCGGAGUCGCUAGUAAUCGCAGAUCAGCAACGCUGCGGUGAAUACGUUCCCGGG